GAUGAACGCUGACAGAAUGCUUAACACAUGCAAGUCCACUUGAAUUUGGGUUUUUAACUUCGGUUUGGGUGGCGGACGGGUGAGUAACGCGUAAAGAACUUGCCUCACAGCUAGGGACAACAUUUGGAAACGAAUGCUAAUACCUAAUAUUAUGAUAAUAGGGCAUCCUAUAAUUAUGAAAGCUAUAAGCGCUGUGAGAGAGCUUUGCGUCCCAUUAGCUAGUUGGAGAGGUAACGGCUCACCAAGGCGAUGAUGGGUAGCCGGCCUGAGAGGGUGAUCGGCCACAAGGGGACUGAGACACGGCCCUUACGCCUACGGGAGGCAGCAGUGGGGAAUAUUGGACAAUGGACCAAGAGUCUGAUCCAGCAAUUCUGUGUGCACGAUGAAGUUUUUCGGAAUGUAAAGUGCUUUCAGUUGGGAAGAAAGAAAUGACGGUACCAACAGAAGAAGUGACGGCUAAAUACGUG
rnacentral:rRNA from 1 species